GAAGACUAGAGGUGGAUGCUAGCUAGCGGUGGUGUGGAGCAUUUGGAAAAUGAGAAAUGAUGUCUUAUUUAAUGGUAUGGUUCAGAACUAAGAGAAAAUUAUUAACCAGAGCAAAUUAUUGGCUUGGUAUUGGUAAAACCUAGACUAAAAAAAUAACAGUUAUGUAUCUUUUCAUAUUUAGGAUCUUGAUAUCAUGAUUUUCACGGGGCUCUAAUAUCUAUGAAAAACAUUAAAAACGUACCCGGAUUCAUGACGUCAAUUUUUGUCCAGUUCUUGAUUCUUGAUUUGAAUUAUUCUCUUAUCUCUUCCUUCUUCCUUAUGUAUCUUUGAUGAUUAAGAUAAUUUCAUUUCUUUAUUUAUGGG
rnacentral:lncRNA from 1 species